AACCUAGCACACCUGCGGUGUGUACCUGCGGAGGGAUCAUUACCGAGUUUACAACUCCCAAACCCCUGUGAACAUACCUAUAAUUUGCCUCGGCGGACUCAACGACGGUGCUCCGAGAAAUCGGGCGCCGCUCGCUGCCAGAGGAACCCCAAACUCUAUGUAUUCUUGUGGAUCUUCUGAGUAAAACAAAACAAAUAAAUCAAAACUUUUAACAAUGGAUCUCAGAUCGGAAGAGCACAC
rnacentral:misc_RNA from 1 species